UAAUUGAUUAUCUAAACCUUAUUUACUAAUUCUGGAUAGAUGAGUUAGCUAUAUGAAAUGUGCUUCUAGAUUCUCCAUGUUCCAGUAAUGGCACAAAUUCAUUUAUAUUAUACCUAAUGUGACUUUUUUGUUUGCGAUGAAAACUACAGAGAGAUGAUAGGUAGAACCACCUCUAUUCACCUUUGCACUUUCUUGAAAAGAAGCAAUUCAAAUAGUCUUGCUCAAAGAUGUGUCAGACCAUCUGGGAAACACACAUAUCGAGAGACUACACAAAUUAUAUAAGAAAGUUAGGUUCCUAAUGGUAUGCCACCAGGGAGGAAUCAUGGAAGGCUAUGUGUACCUAAACAAGUGCAUAGAACAAUUUAGGGAACUAAAGGAAGGUCUAUCUACCCAUUCAAAUAGUUCGUCUUCUCUGCGUG